AACGAACGCUGGCGGCAUGCCUAACACAUGCAAGUCGAACGAGAUCUUCGGGUCUAGUGGCGCACGGGUGCGUAACGCGUGGGAAUCUGCCCUUUGGUUCGGAAUAACAGAUGGAAACGACUGCUAAUACCGGAUGAUGACGAAAGUCCAAAGAUUUAUCGCCAGAGGAUGAGCCCGCGUAGGAUUAGCUAGUUGGUGUGGUAAAGGCGCACCAAGGCGACGAUCCUUAGCUGGUCUGAGAGGAUGAUCAGCCACACUGGGACUGAGACACGGCCCAGACUCCUACGGGAGGCAGCAGUAGGUAAUAUUGGACAAUGGGCAAAAGCCUAAUCCAGCAAUGCCGCGUGAGUGAUGAAGGCCUUAGGGUUGUAAAGCUCUUUUACCCGUGAUGAUAAUGACAGUACCGGGAGAAUAAGCUCCGGCUAACUCCGUGCCAGCCGCCGCAGUAA
rnacentral:rRNA from 1 species